AAAAAAAAAAAAAAUUUUUUGUUUUUUUUUUUCAGGAGGAAAGUAAACCCCCCCCGGAUCGCGCUAGUAACGGCGAGUGAAGCGGCAACAGCUCAAAUGUGAUAGCUAGCCUUCGGGUUCGCAUUGUAAUUGUAGAGGAUGAUUCGUGAAGCCGCCUGUCUAAGUUCCUUGGAACAGGACGUCAUAGAGGGUGAGAAUGUAGUAUGUGACAGGAAAUGGCAGCCUAUGUAAAUCUCCUUCGACGAGUCGAGUUGUUUGGGAAUGCAGCUCUAAAUGGGAGGUAAAUUUCUUCUAAAGCUAAAUAUUGGCGAGAGACCGAUAGCGCACAAGUAGAGUGAUCGAAAGAUGAAAAGCACUUUGGAAAGAGAGUUAAAAAGCACGUGAAAUUGUUGAAAGGGAAGCGCUCGCAAUCAGACUUGUUUAAACUGUUCGGCCGGUCUUCUGACCGGUUUACUCAGUUUGGACAGGCCAGCAUCAGUUUCGGCGGCCGGAUAAAGGCUCUGGGAAUAAGGCCUCCACUUCGGUGGAGGUGUGAUAGCCCAGGGUGUAAUACGCCCAUCCGGGACUGAGGUCCGCGCUUCGGCUUGUGUGCGGAUACAGUCGACUUGG
rnacentral:rRNA from 1 species